rnacentral:rRNA from 1 species
GACGAACGCUGGCGGCGUGCCUAAUACAUGCAAGUCGAACGCAGUGGGGACGGGUGAGUAACACGUGGGUAACCUCCCAUCAGAGGGGAUAACACUUGGUAACAGGUGCUAAACCGCUACUGAAGGAUGUACCCGCUGUGCAUUAGCUAGUUGGUGAGGUAACGGCUCACCAAGGCCACGAUGCAUAGCCGACCUGCGGUGGUGAUCAGCCACACGGGGACGGAGACACGGCCCAGACGCCUACGGGAGGCAGCAGUAGGGAAUCUUCGGCAAUGGACGAAAGUCUGACCGAGCAACGCCGCGUGAGUGAAGAAGGUUUUCGGAUCGUAAAACUCGGUUGUGAGAGAAGCGGUAGCUAACCAGAAAGCCACGGCUAACUACGUGCCAGCAGCCGCGGUAAUUC